GACGAACGCUGGCGGCGUGCUUAACACAUGCAAGUCGAGCGGUAAGGCCCCUUCGGGGGUACACGAGCGGCGAACGGGUGAGUAACACGUGGGUGACCUGCCCUCAGCUCUGGGAUAAGCCUGGGAAACUGGGUCUAAUACCGGAUAUGACUCCAUGACGCAUGUCGUGGGGUGGAAAGCCUUGUGCGGCUGGGGAUGGGCCCGCGGCCUAUCAGCUUGUUGGUGGGGUGAUGGCCUACCAAGGCGACGACGGGUAGCCGGCCUGAGAGGGCGACCGGCCACACUGGGACUGAGACACGGCCCAGACUCCUACGGGAGGCAGCAGUGGGGAAUCUUGCGCAAUGGGCGAAAGCCUGACGCAGCGACGCCGCGUGAGGGAUGACGGCCUGGUGUAA
rnacentral:rRNA from 1 species